rfam:Myotis brandtii contig285892, whole genome shotgun sequence.
AGAGGCCCUCCGCAGCUGGGGUGAAACGCUUGCCUUGUUGCCGUGGCAACAAAGCAAGCAUUCCACCAGGCCGCUCACGGUGCCUGC